UAUUUCUUUUUUUUUUGUUCCACUUUGGAUAUUUUAGUAAGUAGUAAGAGUUGUAGAUAUUGACACGAUAUGUUUAGUGGACUGCUGGCAUCUUAAGAUCAUACUCAGUUUGGCAUGCUCUGUACAUUGACUUAAGCUUUGGGUAUGCUCUGAACGUUGCCCUUUAUAUAUUUUAUGAAAUGGAUAAAAUAACUUUGGCACAAUGAAUUUGGUCCUGUAAACUUUAGCUGGAAAUAAAUCUUUGAUUUUAAGUUAAUCUAGCUCACAUUCAAAAAUUUGGUUCUCAAAGACUCCAUGUUUUGUCUAUAUUUCAUACAUUUUAGUAUCUAGUUCAUUCCACCAUCUAUCGUAUCUGUUUUUUACAAUUUGAAACUCUUGAGUCUUGACCUAAAAUAAAGAGAUCGAAUCUGAAUUCAGUAAACUUGUGCCCAGAAAUUUGAAUUUAAAUUUUUGUUAUCUACCUAAAUUGGUCUAUUUUUUUGUGUACAAAUUUUCGUUCCAUCCCAUUUGACUCAUUUUUCUUGUUCUUUUUGUCUCAUCAGUCGUAUGACUAUAGGUAAAAUGAUUGAACUUAUUGGUGGAAAGGCUGGUGUAUCUUGUGGUCGAUUCCAUUAUGGCAGUGCAUUUGGUGAACCAAGUGGUAAUGCUGAUAAAGUGGAAGACAUAAGGUAUACUUCUGUCCUACUAGCAUCUCAAGUUUGUCUAAUUGAUUGUUUUAACACUGUUUUUUCUUUCAUUUUAGCAAUACUCUAAUCAAGCAUGGCUUCAGCUAUAAUGGAAAAGAUUUCUUGUACUCAGGUGUGUUCUAAUAUUAAAUUAUAAAAUUACUUUCUGUAAGCACACUUUGAAAUUUCAUGUUGUGCCCCGUAUUGCUUGGGCUAGUAUGCGGAUUGAAGCUAGACCAAUGUACAAUCACUUAAUGAACAAAAUUACAAAUGCUAAUUGUUACUCCCUGCAAUGUCUUAUAGGAUAUUGAUAGUCUACAAGGGGAAUCUUUCACUAACAAUUUCUAGAAAAUAUGACAUUUCAAAUGAAGAUAAUUAAAUAUUUUGAAAACACUUUUCAUGAUGAAUCUAGUAACAUCUAUUUUAUAUUGCCAAACUAUUUAUUUCUUCAUAUAUUGAUUAUCAAAGUUAAAAAAAAUUGAUCUGCAGAAUUUGAAAUUACCGGGAAUAUUUUGUAAACAUGCACGAUAUAUAAAGCUAUAAAAGAUAUGGGACUUAGAGUCCCAUAUCUUUUCAUCUUCUUAAUAUAAAGAUAAGCAGCGCUUCUGCGUGUUCAAGAAAAAAGAAGAUAUGGGAGGGAGACUUAGCAAACCUAGAUAUGGUGGAACUGGAGCUUCAUAGCUGUUUUCCAUUAUUCUAAUCAUGCUAGUUUCUUUGGUACAACAUUAUAUUUCCUAUUUCUUAAGCACCAAAUGAUUUUUUUUCUAUUUAUGGUGUUCAUCUUUGCUGCUUGGGCCUGCCAUGGAUCCUCAGAGCUGAUUUUUGGCCCCCAUUUUAGGCAUUCUAGGUCAUCCUCUGGAGGCAUACAUCUUCAUGGGACCAAUCUACUAUCAGAAACUGAAGCACAUGGUACGGUUAGUUUAGCUAUAUUGUUCCUUCUUGGUUGACCUGGAUUGAGGCUGUGUUUUCUAAUUCUGCCAUGUGUCACGCUGUACUCUUGUUUAGUGUACACACAAUAGUGUUGUUCUGGGACUUGUCUGGUCUAACUCUUUAAACAUUGGCUAUCAAUAUGUCCUUGAGUAAUAGGGCCUAACAUAUGAAAACGUCAAUUUACAUUCCCACUGAGAGAACUCCCGUAACAAUAUAGUUUACUAGGUUUGCAGAUAAAGUACAAGAGAAAUUGGUGGCCGGAGCUGCAUUUUGGAGACUGUUAACUGGUGAUUUCAAAAACAACAAUUUUUGUGACCUUAGGGAGUAAAUGGGGAAUGAGUUGGUCUUGAUAGAGGUGUCAAAGGCGGAUAUGAAAGGGAGAGCACAACCUUCUUUCGUGUGCAACUGGUUGUAACAAAAUCGUUAUUUAUGGAUAUGUACUAAGCUGGUUUGUAGUUCAGUAGAGAGAAGUGGUUAUAGAUACAGAAAAGGUAGUUUAUAAUUAGCUUAUAAAAAGUAAUGUAGGGGCAGGCUUAGCUUAACUCAUGACCUACCCUAUUGAUGCCAUUUUGCAUGAUGUAAGUAAUUUUAUUAGUUUUUAAGGCAUUAGCACUUUAGCAGUGCCUAAAGAUUGUUGAAAAACUUGAGAUAAGAUUUUUAGAAUUUGAUAUUGCGUUCUUAUUUUUUGUUUUCUGGAUAUCUCAAGCUAUUGGGUGCCUAUUGCAGCAUUUUCGUCUUGUUUUGGAUUCCAGUUGAACUUGUUGAAUCUGUAAACAAUUUUGCUAACUUGAUGAUUCUCCAGGUUCUUGAUAAGAUGCAUGCUCGAGCUAGUGGACCACGAGUGUUGUUAACCAGGCAGCCUACUGAAGGGCGAAGUCGCGAUGGAGGUUUUUCAACACUAUAUACUCUGCAGUUUUAUUAUUAUUAUGUUGGUUCCCUUGUUUAAUAUAUUCCUUUCCUAUAGGUCUGCGUCUUGGUGAAAUGGAACGUGACUGUUUGAUUGCAUAUGGUGCAAGCAUGCUGAUCUUUGAACGUCUACUUCUAUCCAGUGAUCCAUAUCAAGUCCAGGUGAUUUCCAAGUAGUUUCUGAAUUUCUUUUUGGCAGAGACUGGAAUUGUGCAAGGAGCAUAACUGCUCAUGCUGUUGUAUUAGGAUCAGUAAGAUUACGGAACCUUCCUGUUCUUGCUACUCAGUAGAUAAUCAUUGUUCAGUGGGUAAACAGGUCUUAAGGCUGGUAGUAUUUUAUAUAGCUUUUAAUCAUAUACAGUAAAAAAGAGUAAAUGUUAUAUCGGGUGGCUAAGCAUUUAAGCUUCUCUCUUCAGGAAAAUGAACUGAUAAAUCAAGUGUUCUUCUGUUAAUGGUUGAGUAUUUCAAAAGAGUUAACAUAUCCCUUGGCAACAUAGUACAAUAUUUAGUUUAGUUUCAGCGCCAACAUCAAGCACUUAAAUGUCUUUGGGCUUACCUUGUUUAUGGAUUUGAAUGUUGGGGCAGGUUUGCAGAAAAUGUGGCUUGCUGGGGUACUACAACUAUAAACUUAAGACUUCGUACUGUUCAAUGUGCAAGAACGGGGAAAAUAUGGCCAAGAUGAGGCUGCCAUAUGCCUGCAAGCUUUUAUUCCAGGUAGAACCCAACUUUCUCAGGAUCCUAGCGAAGCUUUGUGUUAAUAGUACAGGCUAUAUUAUAAUUGGUCCACAUGCCAUUUACAGUUGAUCUCAUGUGCUCCUCUUAUUUGGUUCCAGGAAUUGCAAUCAAUGAAUGUUGUUCCACGAUUGAAGCUAACCGAAGGAUAGCUUGAGAUUGUGAAUCGAUGAUGGUUUAUGGAGCUGGUUGCCAAGCUGGAUAGUUAAAGGCUUGGUUGAUGUCCAUUUUCUUGGCGGAGUGGAUUGCUGCGGUGUACAAGGAAGGUUUCGCAGCAACAAGGAAGGCUGCACAAUGCAUCCUUGUGCUCUUAUUAUCAAGAGCAUGCAAGGCCCUGGGACUGCUUGUCUGGUUUAUUAACUAUCCAUAUAUAUAAAGUGAGAUGACCGCCUGUUGGAACAAGCGCAUGUAUAUCAUGUCAUGUACUAGUAGUAUCUUAGUUCCAUAUUAAUAAUUGCAAGUAUGCUGAUACUGGAUCUGAAACACAUCAUAGUAGGGAGAUGAUGGCUAGGGAGAUGACCGCCUGCUGGAACAGGAGUUUGCUCUCUGCCUUGAAGGGUGGCUCUAAGCCCUGCUCCUUGAAUUCAUCCUCACAGGUGACAGGCGCAUCGGUGGCGGCGCUCAUGGAUGUCUUGGCAUCGCCGUACCUUCUCUCGUCUAUGGCUGCGAUGGAGGUGUCGAGGUCGUAGAGCGAGUUAUGGUACACUCCAGCGCAUGCCUCCAGGCAGGACCUCCUUGGGGACCAUGGCCUCUCCUUCCUGCUCAGCUCGGCCAUCCUGGUCUCCAUGGUCACCGCACCCGACCUCACCAGCCUGGCUGAAACCAUGGCGAGCCCGUGGAGGUCUUCCUGGCUGCUGCUCUCUGAAAGAGACGAGACGCAGAGGGUGUAGUUCACCUUUGGGUCGCUCUUGCUGCAUCUCUCGCAGGUAUCGGUUACGAUAUCCAACGACUCGCAGGGCAUGGGCAUCAGGAUCAGCAGCAACACCAAGAUGAUACAGCAGGGAUGGUAUGUGAUGUAUGAAGCUGCCAUAUUGAUUGCUGCUGCUGCUCUUGUUACUCUUGUUUAGUGCGCAGACCCACGUCCAUAUAUAGUGGUGGAUGGCUCACGCGCCUGGUGCUUUCUUUUGUCCGAGCCCAGGUGGCUCAAGCGUGUAAGCAAGUCGAUCAUCAGUCGGAUGGCAACUGAAUGCCAAGUUUGCUGUAUUAUAUUGUUGUGAAGAAGAAGAAAAGAAAUUAAUGAAAAAGCCUUUUAUUCCUCCUCCUCCUCCUCCUCCUUUCCCCUCAUCUAUGAGAUGAACUACAACACAUAUUUAAUCAACACACGCACGCACACGGAAAAUAGUAAAAGAAAAAUCCAUCCGAUCAAGGCCAUCUGAAAUCAAAUCAAAACAUGGAAAUACAAACAGCAGAUGCAGAUUUGAAUAUGGUCGGUCGAUCAUGCGGCGGCGUGCGUGAAUCCGAGGGCGAUGUGCGCCAUCCGCCCGUACUCCCUGUCGUGCUCCGCGACGGGGAUGCCUGCAGCGUUCUCCUGGCCCUUCCACGCGUCCUCGCAGCUCUCGGAGGCGCCCAGCGCCGCGGACAGCUGCUCCAUGGCCUUGCCGUAGAUCUGCGCCUUGAGGUUGUCCAGCGCGUCGCGGAGGAGGUCGGCGGCGGCGCCGUACAGCUCCAGGCAGUGGUUGUAGCGGGCGCGCGCGUGCGGCGACUCCUCCAGCUCCGACAGGUCCUCGAUCUUCGACUCCGUGCUGGCGGCGUGGUCCACGGCCAUCCUCGUCGCCAGCACCGCCAGCCCGUGCAUGCUGCCGGCCUCCGCCUCCUUGCUCCGGGGGUCCGCCCCCAGCGACGCCACGCAGUGGUCGUAGGCCACGCCGGCGUGGGUCUCCGACGCACCGCGGCACGCCGCCUCCACGCUCACCGGCUCAGCGCACGACGACGACGACGACUCCUCCUCUGCUGGCACCAACUCCAUCUCCAUCUCCGCCGCCCGCGCCACCGGUGCAAUGCUUACCACCAAGAGGAGGAGGAGCAGGCAGAGCGGCGAUGUGAACCCACUCAUCAUCUCCGCCAUUGCUAUGUAUCCUUUUGCCUUGUCGAUCCUUGUCGCUGCUAAUCAGUAACAACUAAAUGAUGUCUCGAUCUUCUUCUUGUACUAUAUAUACACGUACGUCGCAGAGGAAGGAAGGAAGGAUGGAUGGAUCGGCGGCAGGCAAGGGAGGAGGAAGGGUCGCUAUUUAUCCAAGAAAGACGCUCGGAGGAGAUGGAUCGGAGACCUCUUCUUCUUCUCCCGCCGCCUCAUGGAUCGAUGCCUCUAUUAGCAUGCAGCAGGUAGGCCGAUCGAGAGGCCUCAGCUCCAUCGUUGAAUGCUUCAGCAUGCAUGCACGCAUGCAUCUAUCCAUGGAUCCACCGCCACCACUGCUACUCUGCUAGCCGCCUAAGACGACACUGCUAUUUUAGUACAGUGCAAGGUCGUCUUCUAGAGUAAGAGUGCUUCCUUUUUCCUUUCUUUCUUUGGGUUUCCAUUAACACAUGGCAUCCGUCAGAUGCACUGAUGAAUUGCAUAUCUGUACGUCAUGCAUGAUCAAUCAGCCGAAUUCGAUAAAUGAUCAUCAAAUAAUUAACCACCUUGAGGCCGGACCUUUUCCUUAAUCUAAAAAUAAUUAACCACCAGGUGCCACAGUAGGAAAGAAUAUCACUUUUUCAUGAGUCAUAAUAAUAGAGAUCGAAUUGCAAGGACUAUGGCAUGGAAUAAAGUCCACAGAACUAUAGAUCCUCCCUGCACUAUCUACAAGUCCACCAUUUUUUAAGCAUGUAUGCAGCUGCAGGUACUGUAGAUCGAGCGGCUAGAUGCUAGCAGCCUAGCUAGUGCUCGAUUAAUUGGGAAAACAGCAUAUGCUCAUCGAAUUUCCCUUUUCUUGUCAGGACCCAUCAUAUCAGACCAUGCUCAGAUUAAAGAGAGCUCAUCAGCACCGCUAACAGGUGCCAAGAGAACCAGCAUCCUCUGUAAGUUAUUGCUUUGACAAUUUUGAUCAUUUAAGAACAUACUAAUAAUAAGACCAGAAUGCUAUAUAUAUAUAUAGAAUUUCAUUUGAUAAUAAUAAACCUAAUUAAGGACCAAGAGUCCAAGAAAGAUACUGUAAGUUAUUGCUAUGUUCAAUUUUGAUUUGAAAUCUCCAAAUUUUGGCUUAUUUCUUCAUAUAUAGGAAUGAGCAGUAGUCUGCACAUGGUGUUCUAUGUAUAUCCAUAUACUACUAGGAAAAAUGAGGAGAAAAGCUAUGAAUAUUCUGAGAUACAGUGGUGCAUACUGUAUACACAUAUCUAUAGAUAUCCCUCCCAAUUAUGAUUUCUCUGCUUGUUGCUCCUCCUUGUCGGCCUCUUCUUCAUCCACUUGUUUGUUAUCUGUACAACAUGCCAACGCAUCCUUCUUCUUUCCCCACAGCAAAAGGUAAAGCCCAAAUAUCAUCAGCACCGAACCUAGAAUGCUGUUUUUUGAACCCAAAACACAAAUUAUAUGUCAGUCACAUAUCCAUAUGAAUAAUCGGUACAUACAACUGAGAUAUAAUGAUUAUUGAACAGGAAAAGAGUAUCUUAGUCACCUGCCAAGAUAGAUCUGCUCGUGGAGGAAGAAGAAAUCGAUGAUGGCUACCAUGAUCUGAAUGAUGGGGAUGAAGGCUGCAGUGAAAACUGGACCCCUCUUGUGGACACACCAGGUCAUUAUCAGGAAGCCUGCUGCGGAUGCCACGAUGCCCUAACACCAAAUGCAACCAAGUAUUAUAUACCUGUAGUGUUUCGAAGAGAGGUUGAUUUCUUUGGUGAACAUCCUGCAUAAUCCAUACCAGGUACCAGGUAUAUUUCUCUACAAUAUAUCUAUCCUUGAAAUAUAAUCUGACAGUCGAUCUGGCCAUGCAUGGAAGAUUUGUGCCAGAAAAUUGGAUAAUGCCUAACACAAGCGCGGAUAUGGAGCGAGUGGUGGACAGUUUUGAGCUUAUUGGGUUGCAAUAUCGAGUUUUGUUUUUUUAAAAAAAUGGUCAGUGGAAGUUACUAAGGACAAAAGGUUUCACUAGUGUUUUCUCCUUUUGGGCAAACUGCGCUCAGACUAAAUAUGCUAUCAUUUCUUCGUUGCUGCAAUUGCCGCUUUCCGAAAGCUACUUUGACACGCGUUGCUAGUAUGGACUUUUUCCUUGCAUGGCCAUCGUGUCAUCCAUGAAUAGUUAGGGAUAAUAACUGGAGCCUUUUCAUGCCUAAGCAAGCAGUGUAAACUGUAAAGUUGAGAUGGUAAUGGUAUCUUACUGAAUACAAGAUUGUGAGGAUCUCCAGCCUCCUUGUCACAAUCCACACUGAUGAGUGCCUCUCCAUCGUCACCGUCAGUGCUCCGGCCUGCAGUGUGCUGAUGAAGAACAUGAUGGCGGUGCUGGAGUAGAGCGCCGGGUACUUCUUUGUCAGCCGGCUUUGCAGCAGCAGCCAAAAGGAGAAGAACAGGCAGUUUGCCAGCAAUGAUACAGUUCCCAGCAUCCAGCUCUUCUUGUCAAUACCUACUUGAGAGGAAGCUGCAUGGUGAGAUGAGCUCAGUGCAGCAGCGGUGCUCUGUUGUGUCACGGCAACACCCUUGUAGAGACUUAGUAGAAGCACCCCUCCGAACGACAUGAGCGUCCCGAUGAUCUUUGCAGAUCCUGCUUUGCUCUUCAUGUUGAGUGAUUCCACCCGCAGAGCUAUGGCGAUCAAGAAGGUGAGGACUGGAGCCAAGUUGGCGAAUGUUAUGGCGAACGUCGCAGUCGUGAACUUGAGCCCGUAGAAGAAGGUGUACUGUGAGAGCGCAGCGCUGCACAUCAAGCACACACGUGCCAGGUGAGGUCAAUGUAUGUUUUAUGUGUUGAAAGAAAAAGAAAAAAGCCGAUGUGUGUUCAUGUGUCGUACCCAAGCGCUGCACUGAAGAAGUGGUACACAAAGAUCUCUGCCGUGAGCUUCGGCCUUGUGUUCCUGGAAUGAAAAAGAAGACGAAGCAGAUUACUAGCAGAUAUAGCAUGAUCAGUUAGUUAGUACCUGAAUCAAUGCAUUGCAAUCCACCAUGCAGAAUCUUCAGGUACCGUUCUUUGAAGUAGGCUAUGGGAGCUAGGAAGACGGUUGCCACCAACUGCCGAAGAGUGAUGAGGACCAGGCUGUUGAGCCCUUGUUGGAGCGCCUCCUUCACCAACGCUGUCAUCACAGCAGAGAUGAGGUUGAAGACCAGCAUUGCCAUCACCGGCCUCCACUCAUCCAGGUGUGCCAUUCCCCACAUUGUUGUGACCCUGUCAAUGAAUGUGUACCAAGAUGCUCUAGCUAGGUUCAUAUGCCAAAGAUCUAGUCAGGGACCAUAUAUAGGGCUGCCCUUCCACUAGCCGAUGUCCCGGAAAUGCGACGGCUCUCAUUCAUUACGAGGGGGACAAAAGAAAGGGGCAAGUGCUGCGAGCAUACUACCUUCCUUGCUGCUCUCCAGCUGAAAGUUAACAGUGAAAAUGCAUAUAUUCAUCUGCAAAUCGCAAGAUCAAAUUGCAACACAAAUGUGGAUUAUAAAAUCAUGAUUCAGCCUCAGCACUGACGUUUCCCUUUUUUUAGUGACCCAAAUAAGAUGCCAAUAAAGUGCAGAAAAGCUGGAUGCACUCAGCAUAUAAAAUUCCCAAGAAAGCUCUUUGCACCAUCAGCUGGUAGUGAAUUGUCUGGUCAACUCCGUUUCCUCACCCACACUUUUCUUUUCUUGGAUUCGAAUUAUCUUUGUUUCUGUUUCCUUCACAAACAUUCAGUCCAUCCAUCUACCAGCCAUCAGGUACAAAUUCUAUUCAGCACUACAGCCAGCCAGCAGAAUGCAUGCAUCGCUGUCAACCUUAACCGUGGUAGAUUAUAUUAAACAUAAAUAAAAGGCUUGCAUCCAACAAGAUGGGCGACACAUACACAGAUUGGACGAGGACAAGAAAAUCAGAUGGGCAGGUAAUAGGGUCCAACAUCAAACUCUUUAUCAACCAGGAACGGAGGAGAUAUGCAGGGAACAUGAAUGAACACAAAAAUACUCUCACAAACAAUGUCGAUAGCAUAGAAGCACCCCUCCAAUUACAUAGCAUCCUAAAACAGUACAAACUGAUGAACUUGUGAAGUUUGCAACUGAGUGAUCCAAAACUUGUGAAGUUCGCAACUGACUGAUCCAAUAACACAGCACAAAAAGG
rnacentral:lncRNA from 1 species